rnacentral:rRNA from 1 species
UACGGAGGGAGCUAGCGUUGUUCGGAAUUACUGGGCGUAAAGCGUGCGUAGUCGGUUAUUUAAGUCGGGUGUGAAAGCCCCGGGCUCAACCUGGGAAUGGCAUUUGGGACUGCAAGGCUGGAGUACGGCAGAGGAGACUGGAAUUCCUGGUGUAGCAGUGAAAUGCGUAGAGAUCAGGAGGAAUACCGAUGGCGAAGGCAGGUCUCUGGGCUGAUACUGACGCUCAUGCACGAAAGCGUGGGGAGCAAACAGG